rfam:Octopus bimaculoides Scaffold1924_contig_82, whole genome shotgun sequence.
UAUAUGGUUGUUUUCACAACCAUAUGUAGUUCUAUAAACAUUAUA